rnacentral:misc_RNA from 1 species
AAGUCGUAACAAGGUUUCCGUAGGUGAACCUGCGGAAGGAUCAUUAAUGAAAUGUAAGGAUGCUCUUUUUAGAGAUCCGACCAAAUCAUUUUCCUUUCUACACUGUGCACACACUACACUUUUUUACACCUUUUUUUAACACGUCAGUUUAAGAAUGUAUGUCAGUCUCUUUAUUGAGCAUAAAUAAAUUAAAACUUUCAGCAACGGAUCUCUUGGCUCUC